UUUCCGGUUAGCGCGGCGUGAGAAGCUAUGAGCAGCAAAGUCUCUCGCGACACCCUGUACGAGGCGGUGCGGGAAGUCCUGCAUGGGAACCAGCGCAAGCGCCGCAAGUGAGUGCCGACCCUGGGGCACGGCGCGGGUGGCGAGGGCCGGCGGGUGCUUAAUCCCCCUCCUCUCUCGAAGGUUCCUGGAGACGGUGGAGUUGCAGAUCAGCUUGAAGAACUAUGACCCCCAGAAGGACAAGCGCUUCUCGGGCACCGUCAGGUUGGCACCGUUCUGAUCCCACCCAGCCCUCAGUGCCCCCGUGCCUGCCCCUCCCCUGCAGGCUCCCGCUGAGCCGGAGGCGGGCACGUCGGUACUGAUGUGCUAGGGUAGUUCAGACCCCCUGCUCCAGGCAGACGCGGCUGGACGGACCCCCACCCUGGGUCUUAAAACAUGAGGGGAGGCGUGGGGAGGCCUUGGCCGAGCCCGCCGGCCAGCCUGAGAAGCUAGGCUGGCUGCUGGUGAAUGUGAACGCUCCGGGUAAGGCUCGGUGGCUGCUGCGGUCCCAGACCUUUCACCGGCCCUUGGGACCCAGGGCUAGGCAUAACCUGUUGGUGCUGUCCCCCAAAACGCAGGCUUAAGUCCACUCCCCGCCCUAAGUUCUCUGUGUGUGUCCUGGGGGACCAGCAGCACUGUGACGAGGCUAAGGCCGUGGAUAUCCCCCACAUGGACAUCGAGGCGCUGAAAAAACUCAACAAGAAUAAAAAACUGGUCAAGAAGCUGGCCAAGAAGUAUGAUGCGUUUUUGGCCUCAGAGUCUCUGAUCAAGCAGAUUCCACGAAUCCUCGGCCCAGGUCUAAAUAAGGCAGGAAAGUUCCCUUCCCUGCUCACACACAACGAAAACAUGGUGGCCAAAGUGGAUGAGGUGAAGUCCACAAUCAAGUUCCAAAUGAAGAAGGUGUUAUGUCUGGCUGUAGCUGUUGGUCACGUGAAGAUGACAGACGAUGAGCUUGUGUAUAACAUUCACCUGGCUGUCAACUUCUUGGUGUCAUUGCUCAAGAAAAACUGGCAGAAUGUCCGGGCCUUAUAUAUCAAGAGCACCAUGGGCAAGCCCCAGCGUCUAUAUUAAGGCACAUUUGAAUAAAUUCUAUUACCAGUUCCCUC
rnacentral:sRNA from 1 species